AUUGAACGCUGGCGGCAUGCCCUACACAUGCAAGUCGAACGGCAGCACGGGUGCUUGCACCUGGUGGCGAGUGGCGAACGGGUGAGUAAUACAUCGGAACGUACCUUAUCGUGGGGGAUAACGCAGCGAAAGCUGUGCUAAUACCGCAUACGCCCUGAGGGGGAAAGCGGGGGAUCGCAAGACCUCGCGCGAUUAGAGCGGCCGAUGCCUGAUUAGCUAGUUGGUGGGGUAAAAGCCCACCAAGGCGACGAUCAGUAGCUGGUCUGAGAGGACGAUCAGCCACACUGGGACUGAGACACGGCCCAGACUCCUACGGGAGGCAGCAGUGGGGAAUUUUGGACAAUGGGGGCAACCCUGAUCCAGCAAUGCCGCGUGAGUAAAGAAGGCCUUCGGGUUGUAAAGCUCUUUUGUCAGGGAAGAAACACCGGCUCUAACACAGUCCGGGAAUGACGGUACCUGAAGAAUAAGCACCGGCUAACUACGUGCCAGCCGCCGCCGUAA
rnacentral:rRNA from 1 species